GGAGUAUGGGCCGUGUCUCAGUCCCAUUGUGGCUGAUCAUCCUCUCAAACCAGCUACUGAUCGUCGCCUUGGUAAGCUCUUACCCCACCAACUAGCUAAUCAGAUACAGGCUCAUCCUUUAGCGAUAAAUCUUUUCAAGUAUCAUAUCUCAACAAUACUCAUAUGCGGUAUUAGCAAAAGUUUCCCUCUGUUGUCCCACUCUAAAGGGCAGAUUACCUAUAUAUUACUCACCCGUCCGCCACUUUCCUUCACCCGAAGGUAAAUUCUCGUUCGACUUGCAUGUAUGAUGCACGCCGCCAGCGUUCAUC
rnacentral:rRNA from 1 species